ACAACAAGAAUAAAAACCAGGCAAGACCCAUAACAAAAACAAGAUAGAGCUCCACCCAUAACAAGAACAAAACGUGCGAGUGCAGCAAACUGAUUUUUUUGGAGAAUAGGAAGCAUCGCCGGCGAACCUGAGGUUCGAUCGGAAGCCGAGAAAAAUAAAAGUUGCUUGAAGCAACCUGCCGGUUUCGAAGCCAAUUUGGCCAACGCAGCUUCCCACGCGUCCAAAGCAAUCCGCUUGCUUUAGGCAACCCGGGAUGGGUUUAACGGGGUGACACUGUCGCCCAGCCCAAAAGAACAAGAAAUAGCUCAGAUAACAACAAUAAAAAAACCAUUAGGGGGAGUGAAAACUCCCCUUGAGCUUUCUCCCAGCACCCCCCAGCGACA
rnacentral:sRNA from 1 species